UACGGAGGGUGCAAACGUUGCUCGGAAUCAUUGGGCGUAAAGCGCACGUAGGCGGUCGGCUAUGUCGGAUGUGAAGGCCUCGGGCUUAACCCGAGAAGGGCAUCCGAAACUGGCCGGCUUGAGUACGGAAGAGGGUCUCGGAAUUCCCGGUGUAGAGGUGAAAUUCGUAGAUAUCGGGAGGAACACCAGUGGCGAAGGCGGAGACCUGGGCCGAUACUGACGCUGAGGUGCGAAAGCGUGGGGAGCAAACAGG
rnacentral:rRNA from 1 species